GUGCCCCAUGAAGACCCCACAGUGAUAAUUGGAACAGUUGACAAACAAUUGUUAAUGCAGAAAAUCACCAUAGGUACUCUUUGCAAAAAUAGUUAUGAAAAAUUC